rnacentral:rRNA from 1 species
AUAUCAAUAAGCGGAGGAAAAGAAACCAACAGGGAUUGCCCUAGUAACGGCGAGUGAAGCGGCGACAGCUCAAAUUUGAAAUCUGGCUCUUUUAGGGCCCGAGUUGUAAUUUGUAGAGGAUGCUUCGGCGUCGGCUCCGGUCUAAGUUCCUUGGAACAGGACGUCAUAGAGGGUGAGAAUCCCGUAUGUGACUGGUAGCUUUCGCCCGUGUAAAGCUCUUUCGACGAGUCGAGUUGUUUGGGAAUGCUGCCCUAAUUAGGAGAUAUACUUCUUCUAAGGCUAAAUAUCUAUAGGAGACCGAUAGCGCACAAGUA